GGGUGUUUUGCUGGGCUGAUGUGGGACGUCCUACCGGUGGGCUUGCCCUUUAUAGGGGCGGCCCAACUAAUAUCCCGUCGCGGUGCUCUUUACUGAGUGUCGAGUCAGGCCGGCUCUUUCACUUUACACAAAUUAGAGUGCUUAAAGCAGGCUAUCCUCUUCUGAAUACUGCGGUGCAUGGAAUAAUGGAAUAGGACCUCAGUUCUAUUUUGUUGGUUUUCUGAACCCCGAGGUAAUGAUUAAUAGGGACAGAUGGGGGCAUUCGUAUUGCGACAAUACAUGUGAAAUUCUUGUAUCCUCUCAUCACGAACAAAAGCGAAGGCAUUUGCCACAAUUGUUUUCAUUAAUCAAGAACGAAAGUUAGAGGUUCGAAGGCGAUCAGAUACCACCUCAGUUCUAACCAUACACGAUGCCAGCUAGCGAUCCGCCGAAGUUCCUCCUAUGACUCGGAGGGCAGCUUCCGGGAAACCAAAUCUUUUGGGUUCCGGAGGAAGUAUGGCUGCAAAGGUGAAACUUAAAGGAAUUGACGGAAGGGCACCACCUGGAGUGGAGCAAACGGAUUAAUUUGACUCAACACGGGAAACCUCACCAGGCCCAGACACCGGAAGGAUUGACAGAUUGAUAGAUCUUUCUUGAUUCCGGUGGGUGGUGGUGCAUGGCCGUUUUUAGUUGGUGGAGCGAUUUGUUGGGUUAAUUCCGAUAACGAACGAGACUUGGUCCUGCUAAAUAGGCGUACAUUAUGGUAUCGAGAAGGCCCCCGGCUUCGGCCGGUGGCUUUUUACUACCAACGGGUAAACAAAUUUUCUGAGAGGGACAGGCGG
rnacentral:rRNA from 1 species